UACGUAGGUGGCAAGCGUUGUCCGGAAUGACUGGGUGUAAAGGGCGUGUAGGCGGGACUGCAAGUCAGAUGUGAAAUUCCCAGGCUCAACCUGGGGGCUGCAUCUGAAACUGUGGUUCUUGAGUGCUGGAGAGGAAAGCGGAAUUCCUAGUGUAGCGGUGAAAUGCGUAGAUAUUAGGAGGAACACCAGUGGCGAAGGCGGCUUUCUGGACAGUUACUCACGCUGAGGCGCGAAAGCGUGGGGAGCAAACAGG
rnacentral:rRNA from 1 species